AUCACACUUAAAUUAAGUCCUCUCUCUCUUUCUCUCUCUCUCUCUCUCUCUCUCUCUCUCUCUCUCUCUAUAUAUAUAUAUAGGCUAAAUUAUAGAAAACCCCCUUAUAAUAAUCCGCUUUUUCACUUCCUCCCCUGACAUUUAAAAACCUACACUUUGCCCCCUUGUAAAAUAAAAAAUAUGCACUUCACCCCCUACCGUUAGGAUUCCGUUAUAAAAUACUUUUUUAUGUCGAAAAUACCCCUCCGCCCUCUUCCCUGUUGCUGCGCCUCCCUCCGGCUCGCCACCUCGCCGCCUCGCCGUCCUCCACUGCCUCGCCCUAGCCCACAUCCCCUUCGCCGUCCUCCGCCGCCUCGCCUUCGCCAUCGUUGCCCUUGCCUACCUCUCCAUCAACACCCACCUCGGUUUCCUCCCUACUGUCGCCAAAAUCGAGGGGCGGCGAGGGUGCAGGAGGAGAAGGGGAGCAGGUGGAGAAGGAAAUGGAGAGAAAUUGCGGCCAAUCGAAUGUGCGGCUGAGGAAGAUGAGAAAGAAGGCGAAAAUGGUGAGGGGCAAAAUGCUCAUUUUAUACACCGUAACCCCCCUGUGAACAUUUUUCAUUUUACACGGGGGCAAAGUGUAGGUUCUUAAAUGUCAGGGGGGGGAAAUGAAAAAGCGAGUUAUUACAAGAGGGUUUUCUGUAAUUUAGCCAUAUAUAUAUAUAUAUAUAUAUAUAUAUAUAUAUAUAUAUAUAUAUGUUCAUCUUUAUAUGUUACAUAUGUCUCGUAUUCCAAAACCGUAUUGUUUCUUAACUAUAUUCUAUUUUGGUUAUCACAUUAAAUUAAGUCUAGAUUAUAUCUAAUUUUACUGAGAUUAUUCAUAGUUUUACUGAAUUUGCAUUCCUAAUUGUAUUUGGAAAUAACCACUAGCUAUUAUAAAGAUAUCUUUUAUUCCGUAAAUUUCGUGUGGCAGAUGAGAGAUGGAGGCUAGGAUUUUGUAAGAGACAUAUUUUGUUCACCACUUUGAUUAUGAUAAAAAUUUUUGCUUUGUUAUUACCCGUGGACAUAUACCAGUGACCAAAUCACAUAAAUAUUAAUUUGUACAUUUUAAAUUUUUCUUGUUUCAGUUCUUUUUUGAUAUCUU
rnacentral:lncRNA from 1 species